rnacentral:rRNA from 1 species
UACGGGGGGGGCAAGCGUUGUUCGGAAUUACUGGGCGUAAAGGGCGCGUAGGCGGCCUCUGCAAGUCGACUGUGAAAUCUCCGGGCUUAACCCGGAAAGGUCAGCCGAUACUGCAGGGCUAGAGUGCAGAAGGGGCAACUGGAAUUCUCGGUGUAGCGAUGAAAUGCGUAGAUAUCGAGAGGAACACCUGCGGCGAAGGCGGGUUGCUGGGCUGACACUGACGCUGAAGUGCGAAAGCUAGGGGAGCGAACGGG